rnacentral:lncRNA from 1 species
AAGGAGUCUAACUAGUCCCUCAUUUGGGGUUCCCUUUCUUUUAUACUUUUCCCCAUUUAAGAAAUGAGUUUAGCCAAGAAGCACUGCCCAACCCCCAAUAACCAAAUGGCACCAGUCCAAUGAGUGUAGGCAAAGCACAAAUUUGUCUUCUUUUGGAAGGUUCAACGUUUAUUGUUUAAAAUCGGCACUCGUGAACCACAAACCUCCAAUUAAGACUACUUUAAUCAUCCAAGUUGUGAAACACAUACAGGAAUCCAAAGAAAAACCCAAGAAGUACAAGACAGUCCCCUUCGGCGGUCAGGAACCCAAGGAAGCAUCCUGCAGGCAGUCUCAUGUUGGUCCAGUGUCUUGUCGGGUACGCAUGGGAAAGGCAGCUUGGGCUAGGGCAGGCCUCCGAUACCUUCAGACCUUUUGAAAGGGUCCCUGACAGCCAGGGGUACAUGCAUCACGGGGUAUUUAUUCACCUAAGACUAGGAACAUUCACAAAAAGCAAACCAAACACACCCACACCCAAACACACACCCACACCCACACCCAGACAGGGACAGCCAUUCCAUGGCUGCAUGGGGGCCGGUUGGGACCCAGGGCCAUGGCCCUGCCUCCCACCCGACACUGGGGACCAGCUGGAACCAGUCUAUGGGGUUCGCAGCUGGGGAGGUAGAAAGCCCUUGCUUUUGACAUCUACUGCGCUCUCAUGGCCCAGUAGGAGGGGAUUUUUCUUCAAUCAACAAACAUUUACUAAGUGCUUACUAUGUGCCAGGUACUGUGCCAAGCGCUGGGGACCCAAAAAAAGGAACAAACCCACCUCAGUUUGUACAAAUACAACAGGAUGGGGAUGGGGGGGGCAUCCCACACCGAUGACUCACAGAAAUAUGGUCCCCAAGGCUCCCCACUUGCUUCUGCUCCCAAAUCGCCCUUCUGGAACAGGUGAGGACAGUCUUGGAAUCAUAGAGCUGAAGGACCCCAAGGCUAUCUGGUCCAAUCCAUUUGCUGAUCCCUCAGCAAAUGGCAAGCCAGCCCUGGCUGGAUUUUUACUAAAACCUCCAAGGAGGGGGGUACCAGCUCCUGCCCUAGGGUGGGGUUCACUUGUAACUUGGCACUGAAAGGGGGCAGGUAGCUGUGGC